GACGAACGCUUGCGGCGUGCUUAACACAUGCAAGUCGAACGGAAAGGCCCCUUUGGGGGUACUCGAGUGGCGAACGGGUGAGUAACACGUGAGUAACCUGCCCUUGACUUCGGGAUAACUUCAGGAAACUGGGGCUAAUACCGGAUAGGAAUCCUUGCUGCAUGGUGGGGGUUGGAAAGCUUCGGCGGUUUUGGAUGGACUCGCGGCUUAUCAGCUUGUUGGUGGGGUAGUGGCUUACCAAGGCUUUGACGGGUAGCCGGCCUGAGAGGGCGACCGGCCACAUUGGGACUGAGAUACGGCCCAGACUCCUACGGGAGGCAGCAGUGGGGAAUAUUGCACAAUGGGCGGAAGCCUGAUGCAGCAACGCCGCGUGCGGGAUGACGGCCUUCGGGUUGUAAACCGCUUUCAGCAGGGGCGAAGCUUGUGGUGACGGUACCUGCAGAAGAAGCACCGGCUAACUACGUG
rnacentral:rRNA from 1 species